rnacentral:rRNA from 1 species
UUAUUAUUUUGUAGCAAUACAAAGUAUGAUUAGCGGCAAACGGCUGAGUAAUGCAUGGGAAUGUACCUUUAAGUUGAGAAUAGCUACCCGAAAGGGUAGGUAAUACUUGAUGUGAACGCAAGUUUAAAGCUGAAAAGCGCUUAGAGAGCAGCCCAUGUCCUAUCAUGGUAGUUGGUGGGGUAAUAGCCUACCAAGCCUACGACGGGUAUGUGGUCUGAGAGGAUGACCACACAGAACGGAAUUGAGAUACGGUCCGUACUCCUACGGGAGGCAGCAAUCGGGAAUUUUGGACAAUGGACGAAAGUCUGAUCCAGCAAUACCGCGUGGAGGAAGACGGCCUUAGGGUUGUAAACUCCUUUUAUAUGUUAGUAAUUCUGAACGACAUAUGAAUAAGUGGCUCCUAACUUCGUGCCAGCAGGAGCGGUGAUACGAAGGCCACAAGCGUUAUCCGGAAUUAUUGGGCGUAAAGAGAUGCGUAGGCGUUUUUUUAAGUCGAGUGUGAAAUCUAUGGGCUCAACCCAUAUCAGCAUUCGAUACUGAAAGAAUUGAACAAUACAGAGGCAAACGGAAUUCCUAGUGGAGCAGUUAAAUGCGUUGAUAUUAGGAGGAACACCAGAGGCGAAGGCGGUUUGCUGGGUAUUUGUUGACGCUAAGGCUCGAAAGCGUGGGGAGCGAAACGGAUUAGAUACCCGUGUAGUCCACGCCCUAAAAAUUCCCUAUUAGAUGUUGGUAAAAGUUAUCUGCUUUAUCACUAUUUUGUGAUUGGCAGGGUAUUAACUUUUGUCAGUGUCGCAGUUAACGCGUUAAAUAGGGCGCCUGGGGAGUACGACCGCAAGGUUAAAACUCAAAGGAAUUGACGGGGACCCGCACAAGGAGCGGAGCGCCUGGUUUAAUUCGAUGAUAAACGAAGGACCUCACCAAGGCUUGAAAACUAGCUGCAAGCUCUCAGAAACGAGAGCCGCUUUUGAAGGUGCUAGUUAGGUGUUGCAUGGCUGUCGUCAGCUCGUGUCGUGAGAUGUUGGGUUAAGUCCCGCAACGAGCGCAACCCCUGUCCGAUGUUAUUUUUUCUUCGGAGACUGCCCCAUCCAAAUGGGGAGGAAGGAGGGGAUGAUGUCUAGUCAUCAUAGCCCUUAUGUCUUGGGCAACACAGACGCUACAAUGGACAAUAACAAAGCGUUGCCAAACCGCGAGGUGGAGCUAAUCGCAUAAAUUUGUCCUCAGUUGGGAUAACAGUCUGAAACUCGACUGUUUGAACGUGGAGUUCCUAGUAAUCGUGAAUCAGCUUGUCACGGUGAAUGCGUUCUCGGGUCUUGUACACACCGCCUGUCAAAUCAUGGGAGCUGGUUUUACUUAAAGAUCUCUUUGGGAUUUAGAGUAGAGUCGGUGACUGGGGUUAAGUCAUAACAAGGUU